GCAAGUCGAGCGGACGUUUUUGAAGCUUGCUUCAAAAACGUUAGCGGCGGACGGGUGAGUAACACGUGGGCAACCUACCUUAUCGACUGGGAUAACUCCGGGAAACCGGGGCUAAUACCGGAUAACAUCUAGCACCUCCUGGUGCCGGAUUAAAAGAGGGCUUCUUGCUCUCACGAUGAGAUGGGCCCGCGGCGCAUUAGCUAGUUGGAGAGGUAACGGCUCCCCAAGGCGACGAUGCGUAGCCGACCUGAGAGGGUGAUCGGCCACACUGGGACUGAGACACGGCCCAGACUCCUACGGGAGGCAGCAGUAGGGAAUCUUCCGCAAUGGACGAAAGUCUGACGGAGCAACGCCGCGUGAGUGAUGAAGGGUUUCGGCUCGUAAAGCUCUGUUAUGAGGGAAGAACACGUACCGUUCGAAUAGGGCGGUACCUUGACGGUACCUCAUCAGAAAGCCACGGCUAACUACGUGCCAGCAGCCGCGGUAAUACGUAGGUGGCAAGCGUUGUCCGGAAUUAUUGGGCGUAAAGCGCGCGCAGGCGGCCUUUUAAGUCUGAUGUGAAAUCUUGCGGCUCAACCGCAAGCGGCCAUUGGAAACUGGGAGGCUUGAGUACAGAAGAGGAGAGUGGAAUUCCACGUGUAGCGGUGAAAUGCGUAGAUAUGUGGAGGAACACCAGUGGCGAAGGCGACUCUCUGGUCUGUAACUGACGCUGAGGCGCGAAAGCGUGGGG
rnacentral:rRNA from 1 species